rnacentral:rRNA from 1 species
UACGGGGGGGGCAAGCGUUGUUCGGAAUUACUGGGCGUAAAGGGCUCGUAGGCGGCCAACUAAGUCGGAUGUGAAAUCCCCAGGCUCAACUUGGGAACUGCAUCCGAUACUGGAUGGCUUGAAUCCGGGAGAGGGAUGCAGAAUUCCAGGUGUAGCGGUGAAAUGCGUAGAUAUCUGGAGGAAUACCGGUGGCGAAGGCGGCAUCCUGGACCGGCAUUGACGCUGAUGGAGCGAAAGCUAGGGGAGCAAACGGGG